rnacentral:rRNA from 1 species
UACGAAGGGGACUAGCGUUGUUCGGAUUUACUGGGCGUAAAGCGCGCGUAGGCGGAUCGCUAAGUCAGGGGUGAACUCCCAGGGCUCAACCCUGGAACUGCCUUUGAUACUGACGGUCUGGAGAUCGGGAGAGGUUGGUGGAAUUCCGAGUGUAGAGGUGAAAUUCGUAGAUAUUCGGAGGAACACCAGAGGCGAAGGCAAACUCCUGGCCAUUUCCUGACACUCAUGAGACGAAAGCGUGGGGAGCGAACAGG